rnacentral:lncRNA from 1 species
GACACGGGCUGUGCAUUGUGUCACUCUCUGGAUACUUGGAGGAAGAUUUCCAGUGAAUAGAAAGUCAGCCAAGUUACUUGAAGGAGCACUGGAAAGAUCCUCCUGUCUUGUUCCUGACAUCUUCCGGGUUACCAGGCUCUACCUUUUCUUCAGCUGAGAGGAGGAAGUGCGAAGAGCAUAGAGAAAACAAGUUAGCGAGAAAUCCCUUGGAGUUGGUCUACUUGUGAAAGCGGCUUAUUUAAUUCAUGUUGCUGCAACAAGGAAAUGCACGGACGUAUGCGUAUCAUGUAAGAAUGUUUCUUCAAGCAAAUAGAAAUGAAUAAUUAAAGUGAAUGUAUUUACUGUGGCAAGACUUCCGUUUGGCAGAAAACCAGCAAACCAAUUUCACAGCAGAAAGAUGGCGAUCUCCCCCUCCCCAGAGAACGUGCUGCUUAAACAGAAGAGAUGCAAUUAGAGUUAUACCUGCUUUGCAACUCAUGAAUAGACUUUAAGAUGUGAGUACAGAUAGAUACUCAUAUCCUACCUAUCACUAAUGGAGA